GCAAGUCGAGCGAAUGGAUUAAGAGCUUGCUCUUAUGAAGUUAGCGGCGGACGGGUGAGUAACACGUGGGUAACCUGCCCAUAAGACUGGGAUAACUCCGGGAAACCGGGGCUAAUACCGGAUAAUAUUUUGAACUGCAUGGUUCAAAAUUGAAAGGCGGCUUCGGCUGUCACUUAUGGAUGGACCCGCGUCGCAUUAGCUAGUUGGUGAGGUAACGGCUCACCAAGGCAACGAUGCGUAGCCGACCUGAGAGGGUGAUCGGCCACACUGGGACUGAGACACGGCCCAGACUCCUACGGGAGGCAGCAGUAGGGAAUCUUCCGCAAUGGACGAAAGUCUGACGGAGCAACGCCGCGUGAGUGAUGAAGGCUUUCGGGUCGUAAAACUCUGUUGUUAGGGAAGAACAAGUGCUAGUUGAAUAAGCUGGCACCUUGACGGUACCUAACCAGAAAGCCACGGCUAACUACGUGCCAGCAGCCGCGGUAAUACGUAGGUGGCAAGCGUUAUCCGGAAUUAUUGGGCGUAAAGCGCGCGCAGGUGGUUUCUUAAGUCUGAUGUGAAAGCCCACGGCUCAACCGUGGAGGGUCAUUGGAAACUGGGAGACUUGAGUGCAGAAGAGGAAAGUGGAAUUCCAUGU
rnacentral:rRNA from 1 species